AACCCUAAUCCUUAUGAUUUCGUCUAUAGCAACAUACCCAAAAAAACACACGUGCUCAAAACGGAAGGAAAUUGCAGAUUCUGCCAUGCAAAAUUCAAGUAUGAAACUAAGGGAUUAUGCUGCAGAAAAGGACAGAUAAGACUAGCCAAUGCAGAUACACCACCUGAACUCAUAAGACUUUGGAUAAGCAACGACUCUGAUGCAAGACAUUUUCGGAACAAUAUAAGAUUUUUCAAUGGCCACUUCUCGUUUACUACUCUA
rnacentral:rRNA from 1 species